GGGGCUGUAGCUCAGUGGCAAGGCGCUUGCCUAGCAUGUAUGAGGCACUGAGUUCAAUUCUCAGCACCACA
rnacentral:tRNA from 1 species